rnacentral:rRNA from 1 species
UCGGGAAUUUUGGGCAAUGGGCGAAAGCCUGACCCAGCAACGCCGCGUGAAGGAUGAAGUAUUUCGGUAUGUAAACUUCGAAAGAAUAGGAAGAAUAAAUGACGGUACUAUUUAUAAGGUCCGGCUAACUACGUGCCAGCAGCCGCGGUAAUACGUAGGGACCAAGCGUUGUUCGGAUUUACUGGGCGUAAAGGGCGCGUAGGCGGCAAUUCAAGUCAUCUGUGAAAUCUCCGGGGCUUAACUCGGAACGGUCAGAUGAUACUGCUUUGCUAGAGUGCAGAAGGGGCAAUCGGAAUUCUUGGUGUAGCGGUGAAAUGCGUAGAUAUCAAGAGGAACACCUGAGGUGAAGACGGGUUGAACUGGGCUGACACUGACGCUGAGGCGCGAAAGCCAGGGGAGCAAACGGGAUUAGAUACCCCAGUAGUCCCUGAGCGGGCUGGCAAGGCGCAU